CCAUCCCCGGGAUCUGGUGCUUCGCCAUUGCGAGGUAGAGGACGAGAACAACGACGCCGAGAAAUUUUUUUUUUUUAAAAAAAAGGAGAGAAAGAGUAGAUGGUAACAAUGGGGUUGUGGGUUAGGGCAUUUAUCAUGGGAGGUGAAGCACGGUUACCGUGUGUCAUGGGAGGUGAAGCACGGUUACCGUGUGUACGUGUACGUCGCAGCUAACCGCUUCAAAUUGAUGCGGAAAAGGACCAUAAGGUUGGUGCGGUGAGAAUAAG
rnacentral:lncRNA from 1 species